GACAGAGGGGGCAAGCGUUGCUCGGAAUUACUGGGCGUAAAGGGCGCGUAGGCGGGAUGGCAAGUCGGUCGUGAAAUCCCUCGGCUCAACCGAGGAACGUCGAUCGAUACUGCUGUUCUUGAGGAUUGCAGAGGAGACUGGAAUUCCCGGUGUAGCGGUGAUAUGCGUAGAUAUCGGGAGGAACACCUGUGGCGAAGGCGGCUUUCUGGGCCUUACCUGACGCUGAGACGCGAAAGCGUGGGGAGCGAACCGG
rnacentral:rRNA from 1 species